GAUGAAGAACGUAGUGAAAUGCGAUAACUAAUGUGAAUUGCAGAAUUCAGUGAAUCAUCGAGUCUUUGAACGCACAUUGCGCCCCCUGGUAUUCCGGGGGGCAUGCCUGUCCGAGCGUCAUUGCUGCCCUCAAGCCCGGCUUGUGUGUUGGGUCGCCGUCCCCCUCUCCGGGGGGACGGGCCCGAAAGGCAGCGGCGGCACCGCGUCCGAUCCUCGAGCGUAUGGGGCUUUGUCACAUGCUCUGUAGGAUUGGCCGGCGCCUGCCGACGUUUUCCAACCAUUCUUUCCAGGUUGACCUCGGAUCAGGUAGGGAUACCCGCUGAACUUAAGCAUAUCAAUAAGCGGAGGA
rnacentral:misc_RNA from 1 species